GUGCCAGCAGCCGCGGUAAUACGUAGGGUGCAAGCGUUAUCCGGAUUUAUUGGGCGUAAAGGGCUCGUAGGCGGUUCGUCGCGUCCGGUGUGAAAGUCCAUCGCUUAACGGUUGGAUCCGCGCCGGGUACGGGCGGGCUUGAGUGCGGUAGGGGAGACUGGAAUUCCCGGUGUAACGGUGGAAUGUGUAGAUAUCGGGAAGAACACCAAUGGCGAAGGCAGGUCUCUGGGCCGUUACUGACGCUGAGGAGCGAAAGCGUGGGGAGCGAACAGGAUUAGAUACCCUGGUAGUCC
rnacentral:rRNA from 1 species